rnacentral:rRNA from 1 species
UACAGAGGGGGCAAGCGUUAAUCGGAAUUACUGGGCGUAAAGCGUGCGCAGGCGGUUAUAUAAGACAGUUGUGAAAUCCCCGGGCUCAACCCUGGGAACUGCAUCUGUGACUGUAUAGCUAGAGUACGGUAGAGGGGGAUGGAAUUCCGCGUGUAGCAGUGAAAUGCGUAGAUAUGCGGAGGAACACCGAUGGCGAAGGGCAAUCCCCCUGGACCUGUACUGACGCUCAUGCACGAAAGCGUGGGGAGCAAACAGG